rnacentral:rRNA from 1 species
CCUACGGGUGGCAGCAGUGGGGAAUAUUGCACAAUGGGGGAAACCCUGAUGCAGCGACGUCGCGUGGGCGAGGAAGUACCUCCGGAUGGUAAGCCCUAUCAGCAGGGGAGAAACAGGACAGUAGCUGACUUAGAAGCCCCGGCUAACUACGUGCCAGCAGCCGCGGUAAUACGGAGGGGGCAAGCGUUAUCCGGAUUCACUGGGCGUAACGGGAGCGCAGGCGGCAUGGUAAGUCUGAUGUGAAAACCCGGGGCCCAACCCCGGGAGUGCAUUGGAAACUGCCAGGCUGGAGUGUCGGAGGGGUAAGCGGAAUUCGUAGUGUAGCGGUGAAAUGCGUAGAUAUUAGGAGGAACACCAGUGGCGAAGGCGGCUUACUGGACGACUACUGACGCUGAGGCUCGAAAGCGUGGGGAGCAAACAGGAUUAGAUACCCUUGUAGUC